rnacentral:rRNA from 1 species
UCAAGCUACUAAGAGCGUAUGGUGGAUGCCUAGGCAGUUGAAGGCGAAGAAGGGCGUGGUAAGCUGCGAUAAGCGUCGGAGAGGUGCACACAACCUUUGAUCCGGCGAUACCCGAAUGGGACAACCUGUGCGGAGUAAUGUCCGUACAUCCCGGAGUGAAUACAUAGUUCCGGGAGGCCAACCCGGGGAAGUGAAACAUCUCAGUACCCGGUGGAACAGAAAGCAACCGCGAUUCCCCCAGUAGUGGCGAGCGAACGGGGAACAGCCUAAACCGAUUCCAGUGUCAAGCCGACAGCGUUGCUGGAGCGGUGUCGCGGGGACGGUCGCGUCAAUGUCGUGAGACGGAGGAGUUAGAAAGGUGCUUCGCUAGCCGAAGCUCUCUGGAAAGUGACACCAAAGACGGUGAUAGUCCGGUAGGCGAAACCGAAGUGCCCUCCUCUGACCGUUUCCCCAAGUACCACGGGACACGUGAAAUCCCGUGGGAAUCCGGGAGGACCACCUUCCAAGGCUAAAUACUCUCAACUGACCGAUAGUGCACUAGUACCGUGAGGGAAAGGUGAAAAGAACCCCUGGCGGGGAGUGAAAUAGAACCUGAAACCAUAUGCUUACAAUCAGCGGGAGCAAGCGAGUGUCUUUCCUUCGGGUUCGACACCUGCUGUGACCGCGUGCCUUUUGUAUAAUGAGCCGGCGAGUGAAUGUACGUAGCAAGGCUAAGUCCCUAUGGGACGUAACCGUAGCGAAAGCGAGUCUUAAACGGGCGUUUAGUUGCGUGCAUUCGACCCGAAACCCGCGUGAUCUACCCAUGGCCAGGCUGAACUCUCGGUAACACGAGAGGGAGGGCCGAACCGCUAACUGUUGCAAAAGUUUCGGAUGAGCUGUGGGUCGGAGCGAAAGACUAAUCAAACCGGGUGAUAGCUGGUUCUCCCCGAAAUGCUUUUAGGAGCAGCCUCAGGCGUUCAGUUGCGGAGGUAGAGCACUGGACGGGCGCUCUGGCACGAUGUGCCGGAAAACCCGAUCAAACUCCGAAUGCCGCAACUCCAGAGCCUGGGAGUGAGGCCGUGAGCUAUGAGGUCCGCGGCCGAGAGGGAAAUAACCCAGACCAUCAGCUAAGGCCCCUAAGUGUAUGCUAAGUGGAAAAAGAGGUGGGAUUACACAGACAGCUGGGAUGUUGGCUUAGAAGCAGCAAUCAUUCAAAGAGUGCGUAACAGCUCACCAGUCGAGUGGUCCUGCGCUGAAAAUAUACCGGGGCUCAAGCAUGCCGCCGAAGCUAUGGAUUCCCGCGCAAGCGGGAGUGGUAGGGGAGCGUUCUGCAGUAGGUCGAAGGCGUACCGCGAGGUGCGCUGGACGAGACAGAAGUGAUAAUGCCGGCACGAGUAGCGAUAAAACAGGUGAAAAACCUGUUCGCCGAAAGCCCAAGGUUUUCUGGGGAAGGUUAAUCCGCCCAGAGUUAGUCGGGACCUAAGUCGAGGCCGAAAGGCGUAGGCGAUGGAAAUCCGGUCAACAAUCCGGAACCACCCCAGUACCGUUAUGAGCUAAGGGGGGACGCAGGAGGAAUGGCCCGGCCCCUUAUUGGUUGGGGUCCAAGCCACUGAGAAGGGGCGUAGGCAAAUCCGCGCCCAUAAUUCCCGGUGGCGAGUGCGACGAGGCAGCGAUGCCAAGGAAGCGGGUCGAACCGACUGCCAAGAAAAGCCUCUAUGCCAGGUGCUGAGGUGCCCGUACCGUAAACCGACACAGGUGGGCGAGGUGAGUAUCCAUAGGCGCUCGGGUGAAAUCUCGUUAAGGAACUCGGCAAUUUAACCCCGUAACUUCGGGAGAAGGGGUCCCACCGCAAGGUGGGCGCAGAGAAAUGGCUCUGGCGACUGUUUAACAAAAACACAGGUCUCUGCCAAGCCGCAAGGCGACGUAUAGGGACUGACACCUGCCCGGUGCCGGAAGGUUAAGGAAGGGGCUUAGUCCGCUUCGGCGGGCGAAGGUCUCGACCGAAGCCCCGGUAAACGGCGGCCGUAACUCUAACGGUCCUAAGGUAGCGAAAUUCCUUGUCGGGUAAGUUCCGACCUGCACGAAUGGUGUAACGACUGGAGCAGUGUCUUGACGAGAUGCCCGGCGAAACUGACGUGGCGGUGAAGAUGCCGCCUACCCGCGAUUGGACAAAAAGACCCCGUGAACCUUUACUGCAACUUGCCAUUGGAUUCUGGCCGUGCAUGUGUAGGAUAGGUGGGAGACUUUGAAGCCGGGACGCCAGUCCCGGUGGAGUCAACGGUGAAAUACCACCCUUGUUCUGUUGGAAUUCUAACGCCGUGCCGUGAAUCCGGCCGGCGGACAGUGGCAGGCGGGUAGUUUGACUGGGGCGGUUGCCUCCUAAAGUGUAACGGAGGCGUUUAAAGGUCAGCUCAGCACGGACGGUCACCGUGCGUGGAGUGUAAGGGCAUAAGCUGGCCUGACUGUGAGAGAGACAUCUCAAGCAGAGACGAAAGUCGAACCUAGUGAUCCUGUGGUUCCGAGUGGAAGGGCCAUAGCUCAUCGGACAAAAGGUACUCCGGGGAUAACAGGCUGAUUUCGCCCAAGAGUUCAUAUCGACGGCGAAGUUUGGCACCUCGAUGUCGGCUCAUCGCAUCCUGGGGCUGUACAAGGUCCCAAGGGUUGGUCUGUUCGCCCAUUAAAGCGGUACGUGAGCUGGGUUCAGAACGUCGUGAGACAGUUCGGUCUCUAUCCAUCGUGGGCGCAGGAAACUUGAGGGGAGCUGCCCAUAGUACGAGAGGACCUGGGUGGACGCACCUCUGAUGUACGAGUUGUCCCGCCAGGGGCAUUGCUCGGUAGUCAAGUGCGGAAGGGAUAACCGCUGAAUGCAUCUAAGCGGGAAGCCCACCCCAAGAUAAUGUUUCCCGUGUGUACCUGCUUCGGCAGGGACACCCUGAAGGCCCCUGGUAGACUACCAGGCGAUAGGUCACAGGUGUAAGCGCAGCAAUGCGUUCAGCCGAGUGAUACUAAUAGGCCGUGCGGCUUGAGGAU